rnacentral:rRNA from 1 species
GACGAACGCUGGCGGCGUGCUUAACACAUGCAAGUCGUACGGUAAGGCCCUUUCGGGGGUCCACGAGUGGCGAACGGGUGCGUAACACGUGAGUAACCUGCCCACAACUUUGGGAUAACGCUAGGAAACUGGUGCUAAUACUGGAUAUGUGCUCCUGCUGCAUGGUGGGGGUUGGAAAGCUCCGGCGGUUGUGGAUGGACUCGCGGCCUAUCAGCUUGUUGGUGGGGUAGUGGCCUACCAAGGCGGCGACGGGUAGCCGGCCUGAGAGGGUGACCGGCCACAUUGGGACUGAGAUACGGCCCAGACUCCUACGGGAGGCAGCAGUGGGGAAGAUUGCACAAUGGGCGCAAGCCGGAUGCAGCAACGCCGCGGGCGGGAUGACGGCCUUCGGGUUGUAAACCGCUUUCAGCAGGGACGAAGCUUUUUGUGACGGUACCUGCAGAAGAAGCACCGGCUAACUACGUG